rnacentral:lncRNA from 1 species
UUUCCUCUCCGAUCAUUCCCUCAACCUCCGGUCACCACUUUUAUCAUCGUUCACCCUAAAACCUGCAUCCACCUUCUUCAUCUCCGCCAUUUUCGAUCGCCUUUUUCACCUUCGUCGUCGUCUCCGACUAUCGUAAACCUGCAACUCUUUCAUCCUCUCGGACCUUGCAACUCCGAUCUUCUCUGUUCAGUUUCCGACGUCGUUACCUGCAACAUCCCUCCUCCGGUUAACGUCGUUUCAUUCCCGACGACGUACCAUCAAACAACGUCACCUUACCACUGCUUCCGUUCAUUGUUUCCGUAACAAACCUCCAUCGUUCCUCAUCAUCGUCGCCGACCUUCACACCUGUAAACCACCUCCGGCGACUAUCAUCAUCAUCGUUAUUUUCAGUUCCGGUGUUGUCGGAAAAGUUGGCGGCGGCUGCGUUACUAAUUAGGGUUUCGGAGGAUUCAUUUUAACGAACAAGACAGAAACGACGUACAUUCUGUCAAUCAGUGACAGUUGAAGAGCAGUCUGCAGUGGAUGAUGAACCACAUUCAAUCGUUGCUGAUGUCCCGAUGCAAAAGGAAUGAAAAACGAGCUUAAACGAUCAAUGCACGAAGAAUCAGGAAAUAUUAAAUAAAGCCGAAACACGAAGGGUUAAAUUGCAAUUAAAGAAAAGUUGUUAAAAAAUAGUUCAUAGAAUUAUAGGGGCCAAAGUGCAAAAUGUUUGAAAGUUGGAAUUAGUUCCAACAUCUAAACUCACGUGAAUUAGAAGAAAGAAAAGAAUAGGGCGCAAGUUUGGAGGUGGCAUUGUUAUUUUGGGCUGGCUGUUGAUGAAAUAAUGAGGCCAUCGGCAUUUGAUUAUUGCAUUCACGACAAAAGGCAGAAGAGACUUGGGCGGCCCAUUAGUGAAACCCUACGUAAAAAAGAAAAAUAUAGGGAGGACAUCUACCUUAACACGAAGCGGAGGCAAUAUCACAGAAGGCAUAAAGAGGAGGCUGUUUCUUUUGGAGCAAGAAAGAAGGAAUAUUCGGUUUUCGAGUUUGGAGCAUUACGGGUUUGAUAUUGCGCUUAUUUUUCUAAUCCUUUGCAUUGAAACCAUGUUUUGUUUUAUUUUCAGAACUGAAUUUGUUAUGCUUUUGAUCAAUAUGAGUAGCUAAACUUUUUAUGGUUGCCUAGGGUUGAUGAACUAGACAAUUUGUUUAAAU